CUGCAUGCUAUCCUAAGGGCCUGGCUUGUGUGUAGCUUGUGACCUCCAAGUGCAUGCAAGAACAUCUUGGACAGUCUUUGACUGUUCUGACUUGUGACAGAAGCAGCCACUCAGCUGUCCGACAGAU